rnacentral:rRNA from 1 species
GACGAACGCUGGCGGCGUGCUUAACACAUGCAAGUCGAACGGAAAGGCCCUGCGUUUGUGGGGUGCUCGAGUGGCGAACGGGGGAGUAACACGUGAGUAGCCUGCCCUUGACUUUGGGAUAACUUCAGGAAACUGGGGCGAAUACCGGAGAGGAGCUCCUGCUGCAUGGGGGGGGAUGGAAAGAGUCGGCGGUGGGGGAUGGACUCGCGGCUUAUCAGCUUGUUGGUGGGGUAGUGGCUUACCACGGCUUUGACGGGUAGCCGGCCUGGGAGGGUGGCCGGCCACCUUGGGACUGCGAUACGGCCCAGACUCCUACGGGACGCAGCAGUGGGGAAUAUUGCACAGUGGGCGGACGCCUGAUGCAGCAACGCCGCGUGCGGGAUGCCGGCCUUCGGGUUGUAAACCGCUUUCGCCUGUGCCGAAGCGUGCGUGACGGUAAUGGGUAAAGAAGCCCCGGCUAACUACGUG